rnacentral:rRNA from 1 species
AUUCCAGCUCCAGUAGCGUAUAUUAAAGUUGUUGCAGUUAAAAAGCUCGUAGUUGGAUUUCUGGCAAGGCAGAGCUAACCUGGUACAGAUGUAUCGUGUGUUGGAUUCUGUCUGCCAUCCUUCCAGAAAACUUCAAUACCAUUCACUUGGCCGUUGUUGCAAUCUGGAACUUUUACUUUGAAAAAAUUAGAGUGUUCAAAGCAGGCGUUACGCCAUGAAUACAUUAGCAUGGAAUAAUAAUUUAGGACUUCAGUUCUAUUUUGUUGGUUUCUAGGACAGAAGUAAUGAUUGAUAGGGAUAGUUGGGGGUGCUAGUAUUCAGCGGCCAGAGGUGAAAUUCUUGGAUUCGCUGAAGACUAACUUAUGCGAAAGCAUUCACCAAGGAUGUCUUCAUCA